rnacentral:lncRNA from 1 species
AUUAAGAAAAGUCUAAUGGCGUUAACAUCAACAAAACCAUCAAUGUUAGGGAACAAAGCUAAUCCAUAAAUGAGCAACACAAAGAUAGCUUCAAAAGCAUCCACACUACCGGCUUGAGCAAAGGCAGUAGCUUCCUUGAUGAGGAAAUCAGAUGGCAACCCAAAAAAUCCUCCUUUCUUCACCCAAUAAGCCUCUAUCUCAGACUUCUUCAAGUGAAG